rnacentral:tRNA from 1 species
GCCUCUAUAGCUCAGUGGUAGAGCGCUUGACGUAUGUGAACCAUUCUAUUAAACUUGAUUAUUUCCUCAAACUAACAAUGAAACAGUUGUAUUCUGAUAUCAAGAGGUCCGUGGUUCAAUCCCGCGUGGAGGCA